GACGAACGCUGGCGGCGCGCCUAACACAUGCAAGUCGAACGGAGCUGAGAGGAGCUUGCUUUUCUUAGCUUAGUGGCGAACGGGUGAGUAACGCGUGAGUAACCUGCCCUGGAGUGGGGGACAACAGUUGGAAACGACUGCUAAUACCGCAUAAGCCCACGGAUCCGCAUGGAUCUGCGGGAAAAGGAUUUAUUCGCUUCAGGAUGGACUCGCGUCCAAUUAGCUAGUUGGUGAGGUAACGGCCCACCAAGGCGACGAUUGGUAGCCGGACUGAGAGGUUGAACGGCCACAUUGGGACUGAGACACGGCCCAGACUCCUACGGGAGGCAGCAGUGGGGGAUAUUGCACAAUGGGGGAAACCCUGAUGCAGCGACGCCGCGUGGAGGAAGAAGGUUUUCGGAUUGUAAACUCCUGUCGUUAGGGACGAUAAUGACGGUACCUAACAAGAAAGCACCGG
rnacentral:rRNA from 1 species